rnacentral:rRNA from 1 species
AUUGAACGCUGGCGGCAGGCCUAACACAUGCAAGUCGAACGAGUGGCGGACGGGUGAGUUAUGUCUGGGACACUGCCUGCUGGAGGGGGAUAACUACUGGAACCGGUAGCUAAUACCGCAUACCAUCGGAUGUGCCCAGAUGGGAUUAGCUAGUAGGUGGGGUAAAGGCUCACCUAGGCGACGAUCCCUAGCUGGUCUGAGAGGAUGACCAGCGAGACGGGAACUGAGACACGGUCCAGACUCCUACGGGAGGCAGCAGUGGGGAAUAUUGCACAAUGGGCGCAAGCGUGAUGCAGCCAUGCCGCGUGUAUGAAGAAGGCCUUCGGGUUGUAAAGGACUUUCAGCGGGGAGGCGUUACCCGGAGAAGAAGCACCGGCUAACUCCGUGCCAGCCGCCGCGGUAAUAC